rnacentral:rRNA from 1 species
CCUACGGGUGGCUGCAGUGGGGAAUAUUGCACAAUGGGCGCAAGCCUGAUGCAGCCAUGCCGCGUGUGUGAAGAAGGCCUUCGGGUUGUAAAGCACUUUCAGCGGGGAGGAAGGCGGUGAGGUUAAUAACCUCAUCGAUUGACGUUACCCGCAGAAGAAGCACCGGCUAACUCCGUGCCAGCAGCCGCGGUAAUACGGAGGGUGCAAGCGUUAAUCGGAAUUACUGGGCGUAAAGCGCACGCAGGCGGUCUGUCAAGUCGGAUGUGAAAUCCCCGGGCUCAACCGGGGAACUGCAUUCGAAACUGGCAGGCUAGAGUCUUGUAGAGGGGGGUAGAAUUCCAGGUGUAGCGGUGAAAUGCGUAGAGAUCUGGAGGAAUACCGGUGGCGAAGGCGGCCCCCUGGACAAAGACUGACGCUCAGGUGCGAAAGCGUGGGGAGCAAACAGGAUUAGAUACCCGGGUAGUC